rnacentral:rRNA from 1 species
AUUGAACGCUGGCGGCAGGCCUAACACAUGCAAGUCGAACGAGUGGCGGACGGGUGAGUAAUGUCUGGGAAACUGCCUGAUGGAGGGGGAUAACUACUGGAAACGGUAGCUAAUACCGCAUACCAUCAGAUGUGCCCAGGUGGGAUUAGCUAGUGGGUGGGGUAAAGGCCUACCAAGGAGCCGAUCCGUAACUGGUCUGAGAGGAUGAUCAUGCACACUGGAACUGAGACACUGUCCAGGCUCCUACGGGAGGCAGCAGAGGGGAAUAUUGUACUAUGGGCGAAAGCCUGAUCCAGCCAUGCCGAGUAUGUGAAGAAGGUCUUCGGAUUGUAAAGCACUUUGAGUUGGUAGGCUUUACCAACAGAAUAAGCACCGGCUAACUUCGUGCCAGCAGCCGCGGUAAUUC